ensembl:lncRNA
GUCAUGUGACUCUCUCCUGGUACAAAGGAAACAGUUUAUUGUCCAGCAUCAGUGUGUCUGAUCUCAGCAUCAGUCUCUCUCUACCUCUGGAGGUGGAAUAUCAGGAUAAAAACAGCUACAGCUGUGUGAUCAACAAUCCCAUCAGCAACCAGACCACACAUCUCAACAUUUCUCAACUCUGUCAGAUUCACUCAGGUAUGACAGUCAUGUUAUUAAUGAUUAUUUACUGAGUUGAUCACUGUUUUUGACACAAAAAUAAGCCACCAUCGAGACCUCAGUCUUGUUUGAGGUUAGACUGACAGAGUCAUUUUGUCCAUUACAGAUCAAUGUUUACCUUUAUUGUACAUAAUGCAGAUUUCUGCUGCUGCUGCUGGAUCUCUGAUUGUAGUUGCAGUUGUGAUGUGCUGCAUCUGCAAAAAAUGUAGAAAAACAGGUCAGGGAUUAAAUUAUUAAACUGCAAGUAUUAACUACAAUGAAUGUAUUUGAAUCAGAUAUAUACAUUUCUAAAUAUGAUUGCACACUUUGUCAUUUUAACACGUCUGUGAUCAUUGUUAAUGCAGUUAUGACACGACAGGAAGACAAAACUCUUUCAGCGUUGUGUAAACCAACAGGAAGAACGAAAUCAAAGAUAGAAGCUGUGUAUGAAAAUGUUCCCAAAAAACGAUGAUCAGAUGAACUACUGGAACUGAUGAUGAGUUCAUACAGGACAAUACUUCACACACACCUUUUGGUUUUGUUCAGAUUUAUUCCCUGCCUCGUCUCUGUUUUGUUUCCACUUUUUGUAUCCUAUUUUCAGGUGUAACACUGAUGUCUGGAUUUUAAUUUAAUGGUCCAUUAAUAGAAUAUCAUAAAGAAUGGCAAAUGUUUCAGUCACAACAAGACUUCCUUCUGUGCCUCAAUAAGAUUAGGACUUUUACUGCAUACAAACAGUUUAGACAAAGCACUGAUUUACACAUUUACUCAUCAGACAAAGCUACAAGAGUCUCAUGGAUGAUCUUGUACAUCUUGAAAAACAUAAUUUAACCCACACCUUGAUCCAUAUAUACCUUCUUCUUCAGUAUGUACAAACAAAAUGCACAAAACAAGUGUACAAACAAAUAGUGUUUCACGGCAUGUUUUCUGAUUUCAAAGGAGGGAAAUGAGUUUAAAGUGAUUACAUGUUUUUAUUCUAAAUAUGUGUCAUUUAAAAUGUACAGUUUGAUUAUAGCAGGAUUAUGUAAAGCAUGUCAAGACCACAUUUUUUUUUAAUUAAAUAAAAGUGAUUCUAAACUUUUAAAUGCAAUAAUUUUGUUGAAAUUGUUUCUCUCCCUCUGUGUCAAAUUUCUCAUAAAAUGAUAGGUCUGCGUAGCACCGCUUCAAGUCAAACACAAAUACAGUAUGCAUGCAUGCAUAAUUUUUAUUGCUUUGACAGUUCUCUGUAGAUCCCACCUUCUCAUGCUCCAUGAUUGGUCGCUCAUGUACAAUGCCUGCAUGUUAUUGGUCAAACUACUCAAUCAUUACCUUCAGCAAUUAUGAAAACAGGAAAACAAAGCCAAAAAAAGUAAGGAAAGAGAGAGAAGAACAAAAGAAUGACAGUAUUUAACAAGUUAACCACAACCUUAUGAGAAUCAGAGAAAAAAAAAAACAUCUUGAUCAAAGGGGUCCAAACUUAGACGCACAUCUAAAUAGUUGAAACAGUUACUUGCAUUGGCUUUGUUGCUGGAACAAGAGUUGGAUGCAGUAGAAGACAGAGGAUCUUGAUGAAUUCAUUGGAAGUUGGCUGAAGGCUUUUGUCCGGUUCUUCUGAAGAUCAGAGAAUCCAAAGCAGUAAGACUGACAGAAAGUCAAACUCAAGAGGAGAGUCUUAAAAGUCUUUGAGAGAGUUUAACUAAUACCAAUACAGAGUUGUGACUUGGCUAAUAUACCAAGGGGAGCAUACAUACAACACACACACACAUAUCAUUGUUACAACCCUGGCUCCAGGGAUGCAACAUAAAGGACACAAAACAAAAGUAUGCCAAUCAAAAUAAGUUUAAUAACAAAAGGAAAAAAAGGGGACUGAAGAAGCAGAAACACUGCUACUGCAGUGCUGGCUGCAAAACGAGAGAGAGAGAGCAAGAGCAUGUGUCCUAGAUUUAAAGUGACUCCCUUCAGGUGGAUCCAAUUAACCUGUUAAUUGCAGGAGAGCGACCAGGGAAACUGCAAUGAAACAGAUUAAAACACUCCCACAUAACAAUGAUAUACAUUUUUAACAGCUUAAUUAUGUCCUAAAUAAAGAAAGUGUCUUUAUGUGUGUGUUAUGUGUUUGGUUGGUGUGGAGGUAGUUCACUCAGGUAUCUGGUGGCAGGUGAUCAUCUUCUCAGUGGAAUGUGUUUGAAGUAAGUUACUGUACUACUGGAGCGCUAUCUAGUGUUAAAGAUGAACAUUUAUCAGAGACGGUCACUGUAUAAAUGAUUAGCUUAGUCCAUUCUGGAAAUUCCUUUCAAUUUUCCUGAAAAUAAAACAGUGUUUAUAUAGGUUAAGCAUUCAAAGGACAUUUUCCUUGACUAAUGCAAAGUUUUAGAAAACAAAUAAAAUUACAGUUAAAAAGGGGAUAAACAUUCAAUGAUUAACAUUGAAUGUGUGUAACAUUCAAUGAGGUCUUAUUGCCCAUCUUGUAGAUGAAUUUGUGCAAGUUCUAUCAGUUAUAAGACAAUGUACACAGACGGGACAAAAUAACUGAUAUGUCAAAACGUGAUGUUAUGGUGAUGCCACUGGUAGCCUCAGUCUGAUUAUGGGACG